rnacentral:rRNA from 1 species
CAGUCGCCGCGGGAAUACGAAGGGUGCAAGCGUUACUCGGAAUUACUGGGCGUAAAGCGUGCGUAGGCGGUGAGUUAAGUCUGCUGUGAAAUCCCCGGGCUCAACCUGGGAAUGGCAGUGGAUACUGGCUCGCUAGAGUGUGUCAGAGGAUGGUGGAAUUCCCGGUGUAGCGGUGAAAUGCGUAGAGAUCGGGAGGAACAUCAGUGGCGAAGGCGGCCAUCUGGGACAACACUGACGCUGAGGCACGAAAGCGUGGGGAGCAAACAGGAUUAGAUACCCGUGUAGUCCCUGUCUCUUAUAC